rnacentral:sRNA from 12 species
CCUUGGGAGAGUUAUACAAACUGAAGUAGCAUUAAAAGCAAAACAGAGCUCAAUGAAUAAGGAA